AGUAAGCCUGAAGGGUUCCAGACUAUUCUUUUCGAACAUUCUGCCCUAAUUGAAGUGUUUCGCGAAAACUUGUCGAUGUUUUAUGAGAACAGUCGCGAAUAAUUCGUAGCUUGAAUCGAAAUUUCGCCCGGUGCAAGUGAAAGUGUUGGCCAUUGUUUCGGAACUUGCCGGAUUGUGCCUCUUGAGUGACCGGCAUGUAUUUGAUAUUCCACAGAUUUUCGUCGUUCAAUUAAUAGUGAGAAUCUCCGAUCAUCUCAUUAUUAUCGUUUCUCGCGAUACCCCUCGGUUUAUUUCAGAACAGUCGUGUGUAAUUUCGUAGCUUGAAACGGUAGCGAUCCAAAUCUAAUUGAUAUUCCUUAAAUUUUCGAUGUAUUAUUCGUAGUGUGAAUCGCCGAUUAUCGCCUAAUUAGUUCGUGUUUCGCUUGAACUCUUCGGUUUAUUUGAAAACAUUCGUCGUGUGUCAUUCGCAACUUGAAUCGAAAUUUUGCUCGCGGCAAGUGCAAGAGUCUGCCUCUUUCUUGGAACUUGUCGAAUCGUGGCCUCGUGGGAUCCAAGCUCUGACUUUUGGUGCCCUGAUCUUGGGAGUGUAAUUGACAUUCCAUAGGUUUUCGUGUUUCGUCGUAUUAUUAAAAGUGUGAAUUGCCGAUUCACCAGUGCGGUUUUCGGAUUUCGGAUGCGUGUGAACAAUUUUGUGCGAAUCGUUCGAUGAACUCAUGUCGUGGUGUUUGACAUUUUCGUGCGUGUGUGUAUGCUUUCCUAACGCCUAAAUUAUCAAGUGUGUUCGCGUGGUUCGUGGUUCCUGUUCAAUUUUCUAUGAUUCAAUCGAUCGAGAGUUUUCAUAACAGCAAAGAGGAUGCCCAAUGUCUGGUCGAAAAUUUGUCUCCCUGCCGCCGUUGGUACUGGAUUGAGUGCAUAGUGCGGAAUUAGUGUCAACUUUGUGAGUGCUUUCAGCUUGGCGUCGGGCAAUUGGAUAACUCUCACCUGGUACGUAUCUGAUAGUCUUUCCAUUAUUAUCUUCCAAUUUAAUUUAUUAAUGCACUGUCCGUCCGCAGCUGACAGAUACCGGACUUUUUAUUAUCACUCCUACACUCUGCGUAGCAAGAUAGACUGGUAAGGGGUCGUUACAUAAC
rnacentral:lncRNA from 1 species